UGAUGAAUGUCUUUCCUAGGGUAGAUGCA
rnacentral:piRNA from 1 species